rnacentral:misc_RNA from 1 species
AAAGUGCGAUAACUAGUGUGAAUUGCAGAAUUCUGUGAAUCAUCGAACUCUUGAACGCAUCCUGCGCCUUGAGGCUAUCCUCGAGGCACACUUGUUUGAGUGGUGACAAAAUUCUCCAUCCAAAGGUAGUACUACUUUUGUGGUACUCAUUUUGGGAUAAUGACAGUGUCGAGCUUACACUCAACUCUGUUUAAAAGUAUAGGCUGAAUCUUUGUACUUUCAGUAUGAGUUUUCCAAUUGGUUUGAGGAAUAUUACAUUCCAACCUUCCCUCUUGGUCUCAUACAUUCAAAUGAUUGUCUUUUUUCAGUUCAUAAGGAACACCAAGUGUUAGUUCGGCUAACGCCUCACUUUCACCCUCAAAUCAAGUGGGAUUACCCCCUGAAUUUAA